UACGUAGGGUGCAAGCGUUGUCCGGAAUUAUUGGGCGUAAAGAGCUUGUAGGCGGUCUGUCGCGUCUGCUGUGAAAAUCCGGGCUCAACCCCGGACUUGCAGUGGGUACGGGCAGACUAGAGUGUGGUAGGGGAGACUGGAAUUCCUGGUGUAGCGGUGAAAUGCGCAGAUAUCAGGAGGAACACCGAUGGCGAAGGCAGGUCUCUGGGCCACUACUGACGCUGAGAAGCGAAAGCAUGGGAGCGAACAGG
rnacentral:rRNA from 1 species